AGCAGCCGCGGUAAUUCCAGCUCCAAUAGCGUAUAUUAAAGUUGUUGCAGUUAAAAAGCUCGUAGUUGAAUUUCGGGGUUAGUAGGUUGGUCGUGCCACUGGUACGUACUGGUCUCACUGAUUCCUCCUUCCUGAUGAACUGUAAUGCCAUUAAUUUGGUGUUGCAGGGAAACUGGACUGUUACUUUGAAAAAAUUAGAGUGUUUAAAGCGAGCUAACGCUUGAAUACAUUAGCAUGGAAUAAUGAAAUAGGACGUUCGAUCCUAUUUUGUUGGUUUCUAGGAUUGACGUAAUGAUUAAUAGGGAUAGUUGGGGGCAUCAGUAUUCAAUUGUCAGAGGUGAAAUUCUUGGAUUUAUUGAAGACUAACUACUGCGAAAGCAUUUGCCAAGGAUGUUUUCACUAAUCAAGAACGGAAGUUAGGGGAUCGAAGACGAUCAGAUACCGUCGUAGUCUUAACCAUAAACUAUGCCGACUAGGGAUCGGAUGAUGUUAAUUUUUUAAUGACUCAUUCGGCGCCUUA
rnacentral:rRNA from 1 species